ACUGAAGAAUAAUGAUUCACAAUAACAAGAUUAUGAUAUUCUUCAAUUUAACCAAACACUCAGAGAAGACAAAAUGAUCAUCUUAUACCUAAGCAUCACUUUUAACACACUUCUGGUUUCAGGUUCCUCCUUUAGUGACCAAGUCCACCAGACUCCAGCUGACAUUUACAAAGAAACUGGAGAAACAGCCAAAAUCAGCUGUUCACACAGUGUUGACAGCUACAACCAAAUCCUCUGGUACAAGCAAUCAAAGGAAAGACAGCUACAGUUCCUGGGAUACAUGUUUGUAACCAGUGGAAAACCAGAAACAGGAGUGAAUGUGAAGAUAGAAGGAAAUGCAAACAAAGGCCAGACCUGCACAUUAACAACUGAAGAACUCAGUCUGAACAGCAGUGCAGUUUACUUCUGUGCUGCUAGUAGGAACAAAGUUAACUGUUUUAGAAGAUGGCCAUAAAAUUACCGCACCAACAGUAAAAGUGCUUAAACCUUCGAAAAACGAGUGUCGAAACAAAAAAGACAAAGAAAGGAGGAAGACCAUUGUUUGUGUGGCCAGUGGAUUCUACCCAGACCAUGUCAGUGUGUCCUGGAAGCGUAACGGGGAGGAUGUCACCAAAGGUGUGGCGACAGACAACGCUGCCCUGCGGGAUGGAAUGUUUUACAAAAUCACCAGCAGGCUGAGGGUCCUUGCUGAAGAUGGUUUAUACCCAACAACCAAUUCAGUUGCACUGUCAGCUUCUACAAUGGCAGUGAUAAUAUCAAUUAUACAGCGUCAAUUAAUGGUGAAGAAGCUAAAAAUACAGGAACCACCAUAACAAGAGAGCAAUAUUUGAAGGUCACACAGACUGGCAAACUCUCCUAUGUCGUUUUCAUCAUCAAGAGCUGCAUCUAUGGAGUCUUUGUUGGGUUUUUGGUGUGGAAGCUUCAGGGUUCAGCUGGAAAGCAGAACAUCUGAGAGAUGACCUGAACAAAUAGAUUCCUGGAGAUCAAUAGUGUCGGUUUCUGUAAAUACAAGGUUGAAAACAUGAAAUUAUAUUUUCAUGACUUUAGAUGUUGCACUGCAUUCGUGUUUGUUAGUCAAUCAGAUUCUGCUAAAAUAGUUCUGUACAUAUUUUUGUUACAGUCUUAAAGCUAAUUUGGCAUCAUACUUGUAUAAAUGGUUAAUUCUGUGUUUGUGGUUGUGAAUCGCUUAUUUGCUUAAUUUUCUUCUCAAUAAAAGUGUUUCAGAGAA